rnacentral:rRNA from 1 species
GACGAACGCUGGCGGCGUGCUUAACACAUGCAAGUCGAACGAUGAAACCUAGCUUGCUAGGUCGAUUAGUGGCGAACGGGUGAGUAACACGUGACUAACCUGCCCCUUUCUCUGGGAUAACGCUCCGAAAGGAGUGCUAAUACCGGAUAUGACCUCCUUGGGCAUCCUUGGAGGUGGAAAGUUUUUCGGUGAGGGAUGGGCCCGCGGCCUAUCAGCUUGUUGGGGAGGUAGUGGCUCACCAAGGCGACGACGGGUAGCCGGCCUGAGAGGGCGACCGGCCACACUGGGACUGAGACACGGCCCAGACUCCUACGGGAGGCAGCAGUGGGGAAUAUUGCGCAAUGGGCGAAAGCCUGACGCAGCAACGCCGCGUGCGGGAUGACGGCCUUCGGGUUGUAAACCGCUUUCAGCAGGGAAGAAGCCGCAAGGUGACGGUACCUGCAGAAGAAGCACCGGCUAACUACGUGCCAGCCGCCGCGGUAA